UACGUAGGGGGCAAGCGUUGUUCGGAAUUACUGGGCGUAAAGCGCACGUAGGCGGAUUGUUAAGUCGGGGGUGAAAUCCUGGAGCUCAACUCCAGAACUGCCUUCGAUACUGGCGAUCUCGAGUUCGGGAGAGGUGAGUGGAACUGCGAGUGUAGAGGUGAAAUUCGUAGAUAUUCGCAAGAACACCAGUGGCGAAGGCGGCUCACUGGCCCGAUACUGACGCUGAGGUGCGAAAGCGUGGGGAGCAAACAGG
rnacentral:rRNA from 1 species